AACGAACGUUGGCGGCGUGCUUAACACAUGCAAGUCGAGCGAGAAAUCCUACUUCGGUAGGAGAGUAGAGCGGCGCACGGGUGAGUAACGCGUGAAUGACAUACCUUCAGGUGCGGAAUAACUUCUCGAAAGGGGAGCUAAUACCGCAUAAUAUCCCAGAACUUCAUGGUUUUGUGGUCAAAGCUUUAUGUGCCUGAAGAUUGGUUCGCGUCCCAUUAGGUAGUUGGUGAGGUAAGAGCUCACCAAGCCAGAGAUGGGUAGCUGGUCUGAGAGGAUGAUCAGCCACACUGGAACUGAGACACGGUCCAGACUCCUACGGGAGGCAGCAGUGGGGAAUCUUGCGCAAUGGACGAAAGUCUGACGCAGCAACGCCGCGUGGGUGACGAAGGUUUUCGGAUCGUAAAGCCCUGUCAGGAGGGAAGAAACAAAUGACGGUACCUCCAAAGGAAGCACCGGCUAACUCCG
rnacentral:rRNA from 1 species